CUUGUUCAGUCGGUGUUCAUCAUUUCCCCAAUAUAUGGCUCAUUUCUUUUUCUUCUUUAUUGGCUAAGAGGCUUAUCUCAUCAGAUUUGGUUCAACAGGUCCGGCGCUUGAAGAAUUGCUUUACAAAAGGUCCAAAAGAUGUCAAGCUUGCAAAAUCAAUAUGCUGAAUUGUUCCAGAUGUUCCAGAAUUGUUCACAGAAAAUAUCCAUAGUUGUUCCAGAAUUGCUUUACAAAAGGUCCAAAAGAUGUCCAGCUUGCAAAAUCAAUAUGCUGAAAAGGACAAAGAAUAUAUAAUUUAUUAGUGUCCAGUUUACAGAACAAAGGAUGUUCUCAAUGCUUGAAGUGCAACAUGCAGUACGCAGAAUGCUGAAUAUGUUUGUGUCUAAAUUGAUGUACACAGUAUGCUGAAAAGAGUAGAGAAUAUAGUUGCAGAGAUUGUAUUAAAUGAUGUAAAAGUGUCAUUUUAUACCUAAAUUGUCUUAGAUUGACCCAAAUGGUUCAAUCUUGAGUAUGUAAAUGCUAUAAAUUAUGUGCCUAACAGGCUAUUGCUAUAAAUUGUAUAUGACAUUAUUGAAAUGAAUAAAAUGUUAUUUUGAUAUAAA